CGGUGAAUACGUUCCCGGGCCUUGUACACACCGCCCGUCACACCAUGGGAGUGGAUUGCACCAGAAGUGGUUAGUCUAACCUUCGGGAGGACGAUCACCACGGUGUGGUUCAUGACUGGGGUGAAGUCGUAACAAGGUAGCCGUAGGGGAACCUGCGGCUGGAUCACCUCCUUAAACGAAG
rnacentral:rRNA from 1 species